rnacentral:rRNA from 1 species
GACGAACGCUGGCGGCGUGCUCAACACAUGCAAGUCGAACGAUGAAGCCGGAGCUUGCUCUGGUGAAUUAGUGGCGAACGGGUGAGUAACACGUGAGUAACCUGCCCUUGACUCUGGGAUAACUGCGGGAAACUGUAGCUAAUACCGGAUACGACCCUCGGGGGCAUCUCCUGGGGGUGGAAAGAAUUUCGGUAAAGGAUGGACUCGCGGCCUAUCAGCUAGUUGGUGAGGUAAAGGCUCACCAAGGCGACGACGGGUAGCCGGCCUGAGAGGGUGACCGGCCACACUGGGACUGAGACACGGCCCAGACUCCUACGGGAGGCAGCAGUGGGGAAUAUUGCACAAUGGGCGCAAGCCUGAUGCAGCAACGCCGCGUGAGGGAUGACGGCCUUCGGGUUGUAAACCUCUUUUAGCAGGGAAGAAGCGAAAGUGACGGUACCUGCAGAAAAAGCACCGGCUAACUACGUGCCAGCAGCCGCGGUAA